rnacentral:rRNA from 1 species
GUCGAGGGGCAGCGAGAUGUAGCAAUACGUCGUCGGCGACCGGCGAAUGGGUGAGUAACACGUAUGCAACUUACCUCUUAGUGGUGAAUAACUCGAUGAAAGUCGGACUAAUACACCAUACUCUCCUUAGAUCACAUGAGAAGAGGAGGAAAGAUUAAUCGCUAAGAGAUAGGCCUGCGUUCCAUUAGCUAGUUGGUAAGGUAACGGCUUACCAAGGCAACGAUGGAUAGGGGGACUGAGAGGUUGACCCCCCACAUUGACACUGAGAUACGGGUCAAACUCCUACGGGAGGCAGCAGUGAGGAGUAUUGGUCAAUGGGCGAGAGCCUGAACCAGCCAAGUCGCGUGAAGGAAGACUGCCCGCAAGGGUUGUAAACUUCUUUUGUAUGGGAUUAAAGUCGUCUACGUGUAGACGUUUGCAGUUACCAUACGAAUAAGCAUCGGCUAACUCCGUGCCAGCAGCCGCGGUAAUACGGAGGAUGCGAGCGUUAUCCGGAAUUAUUGGGUUUAAAGGGUGCGUAGGUUGNAAGGGAAGUCAGGGGUGAAAAGCUAUAGCUCAACUAUGGUCUUGCCUUUGAAACUCUCUAGCUAGAGUGUACUGGAGGUACGUGGAACGUGUGGUGUAGCGGUGAAAUGCAUAGAUAUCACACAGAACUCCGAUUGCGCAGGCAGCGUACUACAUUACAACUGACACUGAAGCACGAAAGCGUGGGUAUCCAACAGGAUUAGAUACCCUGGUAGUCCACGCAGUAAACGAUGAAUACUAGAUCUAUGCGAUACACUGUAUGGGUCUAAGCGAAAGCGAUAAGUAUUCCACCUGGGGAGUACGCCGGCAACGGUGAAACUCAAAGAGAUUGGCGGGGGUCCGCACAAGCGGAGGAACAUGUGGUUUAAUUCGAUGAUACGCGAGGAACCUUACCCGGG